UACGGAGGGUGCAAGCGUUAAUCGGAAUUACUGGGCGUAAAGCGCACGCAGGUGGCUGAGUCAGUCGAUUGUGAAAGCCCUGGGCUUAACCUGGGAAUGGCGGUUGAAACUACAGGACUAGAAUCUGGCAGAGGGGGGUGGAAUUCCACGUGUAGCAGUGAAAUGCGUAGAGAUCCGGAAGAACACCGGUGGCGAAGGCGGCCUGCUGGGCAGUUGCUGACACUGAGGCGCGACAGCGUGGGGAGCAAACAGG
rnacentral:rRNA from 1 species